UAGGGAAUAUUGCACAAUGGGGGAAACCCUGAUGCAGCGACGCCGCGUGAGUGAUGAAGGCCUUCGGGUCGUAAAGCUCUGUCGUAUGGGACUAACAAAAUGAAGGUACCAUGCAAGAAAGGAUCGGCUAACUUCGUGCCAGCAGCCGCGGUAAGACGAGGGAUCCUAGCGUUGUUCGGAAUUAUUGGGCGUAAAGCGGGUGUAGGCGGACUUAUAAGUCAGGUGUGAAAUCCCAGGGCUCAACCCUGGAAGUGCACUUGAUACUGCAAGUCUUGAGUGUGGUAGAGGCUAUUAGAAUUCCUGGUGUAGUGGUGAAAUACGUAGAUAUCAGGAGGAAUAUCGGAGGCGAAGGCGGAUAGCUGGGCCAACACUGACGCUGAGACCCGAAAGCGUGGGGAUCAAACAGGAUUAGAUACCCUCGUAGUCCCUGAGCGGGCUGGCAAGGCGCAU
rnacentral:rRNA from 1 species